UGAGCCAGAGCUUCAGCAGCUGAGAUGCGGCUGCUGGGAUUGAACGUCAAACAUUUCUGCAGGAUGAAGCGUUUCUAAUAUACUGAUUCUCUGACUUUUGCCAAAACUUAAUCAUUUCAUAGUCCACAAUACUACAAUGGUGUGGAACAAAAAAAAAAGCAUGGCAACAUUUCAAAUCUGCUCACAGCCAGCAGGUCGUUCUCCUCUGGGCCCACGAUGUGCAGCGGCAUGUUGCGGGAAACCUUUGGUCCCCAGCUGAAUGAGUAUGAGAACGGGCUGUCGGUCGGCCAGUCCUCCUCACCAGGAAAACCAAUAAACCUGGGGGAAAGAUGAUUUAACCAACAAAGACCAGGACCAGGACAAAAGCUACUCUGACAUUAUCCAUUUAUUUAAUAACAAAUAAAAGGUGAAAACAAAUGUCUCGCAGCAGAUGGACACCCUUUAACUGCAUUACAGAUCCAUAGUUGCUGAAUAAUUUGAAAUGAACAAAGGCUAAAGCACUCAUAUUCAUGGCUGAAUUUAAAAGAAUAGUUUGGGUUCUUUUUUUUCAGCAUCUUAUAUGUGCAUACCUCUCAUUGAAAACACGGUUGUCAUAGUAACACCAGAUAAAACAGAUUUAACCCACUCAACAAAAGGCUGUCCUAGGAAAAAUCAAUGCCAGCUUUAAGUUUUUAUCUAUCUUAAAAUUAUAUUCAUUGCUUAAUCAGACCAAAGUCCAUGGAGAAAAUCGGCUUGCAGGGAAAUGGGAGUUGCUGGUUUGUGCCACUCAGUGAAUU